UCUCCGUUGGUGAACCAGCGGAGGGAUCAUUGCUGGAAGCGUCUCACGGCGCACCCAGAUACCCUUUGUGAACCUAUACCUAUCUGUUGCCUCGGCAGAACCUACCCUGUAGCGGGCUGCCGGCGGACCUCUAAACUCUUGUUAUACUAUUGUAAUCUGAGCGUCUUAUUUUAAUAAGUCAAAACUUUCAACAACGGAUCUCUUGGUUCUGGCAUCGAUGAAGAACGCAGC
rnacentral:misc_RNA from 1 species